rnacentral:rRNA from 1 species
AUUCUGAGCAGCGAAAGUGUGGGGUAGCAAACAGGAUUACCAUCCCCUGGGAGGUCCUCCCCGUAAACGUUGGGCACUAGGGGUUGGGGAGGAAUCAACCCCUUUUCCGAUCCCGUAGCUAUCGCAUUAAGUGCCCCGCCUGGGGAGUACGGACCUCAAGGGCUAAAACUCAAAGGAAUUGGCGGGGGGUCCGCCCAAACGGCGGAGCAUGUUGCUUAAUUCGAGGCAACGCGAAGAUCCUUACCUAGGUUCACUCCGCAGGAAUAUCCACAGAGAUUUGGUGUCCUUCGGGGCCUGCGAUAGCUGGUGCAUGGCAGUCAUCAGCUAGUGUCGUGAGAUCUUGGGUUAAGUCCCGCAACGAGCGCAACCCUUAUCCCAUGUUUCCAGCGCGUAAUGGCGGGGGGGGGGGGGGGGACAAAAAAAAUCAACUUGGAGGAAGGUGGGGACGACGUCAAGUCAUCAUGCCCCUUAAAAAAAAAGGCUGCAAACAUGCUACAGUGGCUGGUACAAAGGGCUGGGAAACCGCGAGGUCGAGCGAAUCCCAAAAAGCCAGUCUCAGUUCGGAUUGAAGUCUGCAACUUGACUUCAUGAAGCUGGAGUCGCUAGUAAUCCCGGAUCAGCAACGCCGGGGUGAAUACGUUCCCGGGCCUUGUACACACCGCCCGUCACCCCUUUUUUCAAUUCGCAACUCCCGAAGUCAGUGACCGAACCCCUCGGGGACGGUGUCGCCUAAGGUGGGCUUACCCUUUCU